UACGUAGGGGGCGAGCGUUGUCCGGAGUUACUGGGCGUAAAGCGCACGCAGGCGGUCUGCUAAGUUUGGAGUGACAGUUGGUGGCUUAACUGCCAAAGUGCUUCGAAAACUGACAGACUUGAGGGCUUCAGAGGGACACGGAAUUCCGGGUGGAGUGGUGAAAUGCGUAGAGAUCGGAAAGAACACCAACGGCGAAAAGCACUCUGCUGGGCCGACACUGACACUGGAGAGACGAAAGCUAGGGGAGCGAAUGGG
rnacentral:rRNA from 1 species